rnacentral:lncRNA from 1 species
ACACUCUAUGAACUUCGGUGUUCCUUACAGUUAGCGGAAACGGAAAGGGAAGGAGGAUUUUCUCCACACAUUUCUCCUUUCACUGCUGUCAAUGACCUGGGACAUCUGCUUGGGAGAGCUGGCUUUAAUACUCUGACUGUGGGAAAAGCUCUGAUUGACAAUGUUUAGUUUGUAUAACACAUCUUAAUUGACACAAGGACACUGAUGAAAUUCAAGUUAACUAUCCUGGAAUGUUUGAAUUGAUGGAAGAUUUACAAGAACAAAAGUCCAGAAUGUUGACCUAAUUUUACAAAACAAGCUGCAUAUCAGCUGAUGAAUGCAUGAGAAAUUUUCAAGGCUUUCACAGUGGUCUUAAGGUAUGGGUGAGAGUAACUGUGCUUGGAAUAGAAAAGCCCUGCUGCAUCGAGACACAAUGCUGGCAGCUGCGGCAGUGUACAGAGAAAUGUACAGAAAUGAAGAUGGUUCAGUACCUGCUACAUACCAGAUCUAUUACAUGAUAGGAUGGAAAUAUCAUGAGUCACAGGCAAGACCAGCUGAAAGAGGUUCCGCAACUGUGUCAUUUGGAGAGCUAGGAAAAAUAAACAACCUUAUGCCACCGGGGAAAAAAUCACAAUAAAUAUUUAUUCAGUGUUAA